GGAUUGGAUGUCUAUCACUGUCAAUGAGCUAACUACAGUGUUAUUCACAUUCUUCACAUGCGCUGAUGCAGGUAUUGUUGACGUCUGUUAACGCUCUACUUGCACAUUACCGGGAUCGUUCAGAUUCUGCAGAUUGUAAACCAAACAAACACAUAGGUCCUCCAAAAAAAUGAUGAUUAUACAUUAGGGUUGCCAAUCUCCUGCAAGUUGUUGGAGGUGUGCCCCCAGAUAAAAAAGAGACGGGGACCAGCACCAAGUGAAUACCUCCUGACUGUUGCAUUGAACACACACGGAAAUUCAUGCCUCACAUCAAGCGUGGCUGUGGAGGUGGUGGACAUGGACAUGGACACGGACGAAGGCGUCGUCCGAGAUGCGAACAUGGGAAGGGAUGUAAAAAGUGCAAGAGAAGACACAAGUUAGGACACAAACAUCGCAAGUGUCAUAAGAAAGGGAAGGAGUGUCACGGGUACUCCAGCAGCUCAUGCAGCAGCAGCAGCAGUAGUAGUAGCAGCAGCAGCGACUCUGACUAGAUCACAGAAGAAGCGCCAUGAAAAUGUCAGCAAGCAUCCACGUUGCGCAAUAAUCAACCACAUGUGACCAUCAAAUGGCUUCAUUAAAAGUGCUAACAUUCCUGUUUAUAUUGUUGGCCAAAUUGUUAGUAGUCUAAUAUCUCAUCAAUAGAAAAAAAAUGCUGCUGACAAAUUGACCCGGUGGCUUUUUUGUCGCUCUUCCUGAAAAUCAACAUAACAGGAGGGUUAAACAAGUUGUCCAAGGCUGUAUUUUUUGUGAUGUUACAAUAAAAUUGAUUUAAGCAAA